rnacentral:rRNA from 1 species
AUUGAACGCUGGCGGCAUGCUUUACACAUGCAAGUCGAACGGUAACAGGCCGCAAGGUGCUGACGAGUGGCGAACGGGUGAGUAAUGCAUCGGAACGUGCCCAGUCGUGGGGGAUAACGCAGCGAAAGUUGCGCUAAUACCGCAUACGAGCUAUGGAUGAAAGCGGGGGACCGUAAGGCCUCGCGCGAUUGGAGCGGCCGAUGUCAGAUUAGGUAGUUGGUGGGGUAAAGGCUCACCAAGCCGACGAUCUGUAGCUGGUCUGAGAGGACGACCAGCCACACUGGGACUGAGACACGGCCCAGACUCAUACGGGAGGCAACAGUGGGGAAUAUUGGACAAUGGGCGAAAGCCUGAUCCAGCCAUGCCGCGUGAGUGAUGAAGGCCUUAGGGUCGUAAACUCCUUUUGCACAGAGAGAGAUCCCGAUUUUGUCGGGACUGACGGUACUGUGAGAAUAAGCACCUGCAAACUACGUGCCAGCCGCCGCGGUAAGAC